rnacentral:rRNA from 1 species
GAUCCUGGCUCAGGAUGAACGCUAGCUACAGGCUUAACACAUGCAAGUCGAGGGGCAUCAGGGAUCCAGCUGCUGGAUUGCUGGCGACCGGCGCACGGGUGAGUAACGCGUAUCCAACCUGUCCCAGUAGUAGGGAACAGCCCGGCGAAAGUCGGAUUAAUGCCCUAUGUUGUUCCUUGAGAGCAUUUGAUUGGAACCAAAGAGUUUAUCGCUAUGGGGUUGGGGAUGCGUCCGAUUAGGUAGGACGGCGGGGUAACCGGCCCACCGUGCCUUCGAUCGGUAGGGGUUCUGAGAGGAAGGUCCCCCCACAUUGGAACUGAGACACGGUCCAAACUCCUACGGGAGGCAGCAGUGAGGAAUAUUGGUCAAUGGGCGCGAGCCUGAACCAGCCAAGUAGCGUGCAGGAUGACGGCCCUAUGGGUUGUAAACUGCUUUUAUGCGGGGAUAAAGUGACGUACGUGUACGUUUUUGUAGGUACCGCAUGAAUAAGGACCGGCUAAUUCCGUGCCAGCAGCGGC